UAGCCCCUCAUGUGCUGUGGGAUCCAACUUGCUGAACUCAUGAUUUGGGAGUGACCUCCCAAAAUAGCAGGGGAAAAUGAAACAACUUCAACAUAUAUCUUUUCACAAUGGAAAUUUCCUCAUGACUGAAGAAGUUGCUGGUCAUUUUAUUUCAAUGUUCCCUUCUACCUCCCUCUUAACCACAGCAGAAGAGAUUAUUACGAGAAACAACUUCAGUUUUAUAUUUAACCAUAUUGUUACAUAGUUUCACUCACUAUAUUUAUUUUAUGUUGUGUAUUACACAUUCUUAUCUAUUAAUAUUAAUAAAUGGUAUUAAAUUA